UACAGAGGGGGCAAGCGUUGUUCGGAAUUACUGGGCGUAAAGGGCGCGUAGGCGGCCUGCUAAGUCGAACGUGAAAUCCCUCGGCUUAACCGGGGAACUGCGUCUGAUACUGGAUGGCUUGAGUUCGGGAGAGGGAUGCGGAAUUCCAGGUGUAGCGGUGAAAUGCGUAGAUAUCUGGAGGAACACCGGUGGCGAAGGCGGCAUCCUGGACCGAUACUGACGCUGAGGAGCGAAAGCCAGGGGAGCAAACGGG
rnacentral:rRNA from 1 species